rnacentral:rRNA from 1 species
GAUGAACGCUAGCGGCAGGCCUAAUACAUGCAAGUCGAACGGGGCAGUUCAGCAAUGAACUGUUCAGUGGCGCACGGGUGCGUAACGCGUAUGCUAACCUACCUUAAACUGGGGGAUAGACCCGGGGAAACCCGGAUUAAUACCGCAUAAGAUCACACGAGGGCAUCUGAGAGUGAUUAAAGAUUUAUUGGUUUAAGAUGGGCAUGCGUGCCAUUAGCUAGUUGGUAGGGUAANGGCCUACCAAGGCUACGAUGGCUAGGGGUUCUGAGAGGAUGACUCCCCCACA